GGGAUCGCAAGACCUCAUGCUUUUGGAGCGGCCGAUAUCUGAUUAGCUAGUUGGUAGGGUAAAGGCCUACCUAGGCGACGAUCAGUAGCUGGUCUGAGAGGACGACCAGCCACACUGGAACUGAGACACGGUCCAGACUCCUACGGGAGGCAGCAGUGGGGAAUUUUGGACAAUGGGCGCAAGCCUGAUCCAGCAAUGCCGCGUGAGUGAAGAAGGCCUUCGGGUUGUAAAGCUCUUUUGUCAGGGAAGAAACGGCUGAGGCUAAUACCUUCGGCUAAUGACGGUACCUGAAGAAUAAGCACCGGCUAACUACGUGCCAGCAGCCGCGGUAAUACGUAGGGUGCAAGCGUUAAUCGGAAUUACUGGGCGUAAAGCGUGCGCAGGCGGUUUUGUAAGUCUGACGUGAAAUCCCCGGGCUCAACCUGGGAAUUGCGUUGGAGACUGCAAGGCUGGAGUCUGGCAGAGGGGGGUAGAAUUCCACGUGUAGCAGUGAAAUGCGUAGAGAUGUGGAGGAACACCGAUGGCGAAGGCAGCCCCCUGGGUCAAGACUGACGCUCAUGCACGAAAGCGUGGGGAGCAAACAGGAUUAGAUACCCUGGUAGUCCACGCCCUAAACGAUGUCUACUAGUUGUCGGGUUUUAAUUAACUUGGUAACGCAGCUAACGCGUGAAGUAGACCGCCUGGGGGAGUACGGUCGCAAGAUUAAAACUCAAA
rnacentral:rRNA from 1 species